rnacentral:rRNA from 1 species
AGUUUGAUCCUGGAAAGGAUGAACGCUGGCGGCGUGCCUAAUACAUGCAAGUCGAGCGGUAAGGCCCUUCGGGGUACACGAGCGGCGGACGGCCGAGUAACACGUAGGAACGUACCCCAAAGUGAGGGAUAAGCAUCAGAAAUGGUGUCUAAUACCGCAUGUGCUCUAAGGAGUAAAGCUCCGGCGCUUUGGGAACGGCCUGCGCAUGAUUAGCUAGAUGGUGAGGUAAUGGCUCACCAUGGCGACGAUCAUUAGCUGGUCUGAGAGGAUGAUCAGCCAGACUGGGACUGAGACACGGCCCAGACUCCUACGGGAGGCAGCAGUAGGGAAUUUUCCACAAUGGGCGAAAGCCUGAUGGAGCAACGCCGCGUGCAGGAUGAAUGCCUUCGGGUUGUAAACUGCUUUUAUAUGUGACGAAUAUGACGGUAGCAUAUGAAUAAGGAUCGGCUAACUCCGUGCCAGCAGCCGCGGUCAUACGGAGGAUCCAAGCGUUAUCCGGAAUUACUGGGCGUAAAGAGUUGCGUAGGCGGCAUAGUAAGCAGAUAGUGAAAGCGUGCGGCUCAACCAUACUCACAUUAUCUGAACUGCUAAGCUAGAGGACGAGAGAGGUCACUGGAAUUCCUAGUGUAGGAGUGAAAUCCGUAGAUAUUAGGAGGAACACCAAUGGCGUAGGCAGGUGACUGGCUUCGUUCCUGACGCUCAGGCACGAAAGCGUGGGGAGCAAACGGGAUUAGAUACCCCGGUAGUCCACGCCGUAACGAUGGAUGCUAACUGUUAGAGGUAUCCGACCCCCUCUAGUAGCGAAGCUUAACGCGUUAAGCAUCCCGCCCUG